UCGAUACCCCUUGGGGUGCCGAAGUUAACACAUUAAGCAUUCCGCCUGGGGAGUACGGUCGCAAGACUGAAACUCAAAGGAAUUGACGGGGACCCGCACAAGCAGUGGAGUAUGUGGUUUAAUUCGAAGCAACGCGAAGAACCUUACCAGGUCUUGACAUCCCUCUGAAUCCACUAGAGAUAGUGGCGGCCUUCGGGACAGAGGAGACAGGUGGUGCAUGGUUGUCGUCAGCUCGUGUCGUGAGAUGUUGGGUUAAGUCCCGCAACGAGCGCAACCCUUGAUCUUAGUUGCCAGCACUUUGGGUGGGCACUCUANGAUGACUGNCGGUGACAAACCGGANGAAGGUGGGGAUGACGUCAAAUCAUCAUGCCCCUUAUGACCUGGGCUACACACGUACUACAAUGGCCGAUACAACGGGAAGCGAAACCGCGAGGUGGAGCCAAUCCUAUCAAAGUCGGUCUCAGUUCGGAUUGCAGGCUGCAACUCGCCUGCAUGAAGUCGGAAUUGCUAGUAAUCGCGGAUCAGCAUGCCGCGGUGAAU
rnacentral:rRNA from 1 species